CGUUUUUGUUGUCUUCUCGUCAAACCGAGACCUAUAGGGAAGUAAAACACGUCUCUCAUACCCACACUGGAGGGUGGUGUGGGAAUAUUACUAUUG
rfam:Synechococcus phage S-CAM9 isolate 1109NB16, complete genome.